rnacentral:rRNA from 1 species
GUUCCAGACUCCUACGGGAGGCAGCAGUGAGGAAUAUUGGUCAAUGGGCGCGAGCCUGAACCAGCCAAGUCGCGUGAGGGAUGACGGCCCUACGGGUUGUAAACCUCUUUUGUCGGGGAGCAAAUUCCGUUACGUGUAACGGAGUCGAGAGUACCCGAAGAAAAAGCAUCGGCUAACUCCGUGCCAGCAGCCGCGGUAAUACGGAGGAUGCGAGCGUUAUCCGGAUUUAUUGGGUUUAAAGGGUGCGUAGGCGGAACAUUAAGUCAGCGGUAAAAUCGAGGGGCUCAACCCCGGCCUGCCGUCGGAACUGGGUGCCUUGAGUGGGCGAGAAGUAUGCGGAAUGCGUGGUGUAGCGGUGAAAUGCAUAGAUAUCACGCAGAACCCCGAUUGCGAAGGCAGCAUACCGGCGCCCUACUGACGCUGAGGCACGAAAGCGUGGGUAUCGAACAGGAUUAGAUACCCGGGUAC